AGGUAGUCAAGAUGAGAAUUCUAAGGUGAGCGAGCGAACUCUCGUUAAGGAACUCGGCAAAAUGACCCCGUAACUUCGGGAGAAGGGGUGCUCUUUAGGGUUAACGCCCAGAAGAGCCGCAGUGAAUAGGCCCAAGCGACUGUUUAUCAAAAACACAGGUCUCUGCUAAACCGUAAGGUGAUGUAUAGGGGCUGACGCCUGCCCGGUGCUGGAAGGUUAAGAGGAGUGGUUAGCUUCUGCGAAGCUACGAAUCGAAGCCCCAGUAAACGGCGGCCGUAACUAUAACGGUCCUAAGGUAGCGAAAUUCCUUGUCGGGUAAGUUCCGACCCGCACGAAAGGCGUAACGAUUUGGGCACUGUCUCAACGAGAGACUCGGUGAAAUCAUAGUACCUGUGAAGAUGCAGGUUACCCGCGACAGGACGGAAAGACCCCGUGGAGCUUUACUGUAGCCUGAUAUUGAAAUUCGGCACAGCUUGUACAGGAUAGGUAGGAGCCUUUGAAACGUGAGCGCUAGCUUACGUGGAGGCGCUGGUGGGAUACUACCCU
rnacentral:rRNA from 1 species